GACGAACGCUGGCGGCGUGCUUAACACAUGCAAGUCGAACGGUGAAGCGCCUUCCUUUUUGGUGGGUGUGGAUGAGUGGCGAACGGGUGAGUAACACGUGAGUAACCUGCCCCCUUCUUCUGGAUAACCGCAUGAAAGUGUGGCUAAUACGGGAUAUUCUGGGUCUGUCGCAUGAUGGGACUGGGAAAGAUAUUGUUUCGGUGGGGGAUGGGCUCGCGGCCUAUCAGCUUGUUGGUGGGGUGAUGGCCUACCAAGGCGGUGACGGGUAGCCGGCCUGAGAGGGUGGACGGUCACACUGGGACUGAGACACGGCCCAGACUCCUACGGGAGGCAGCAGUGGGGAAUAUUGCACAAUGGGCGCAAGCCUGAUGCAGCGACGCCGCGUGAGGGAUGGAGGCCUUCGGGUUGUGAACCUCUUUCGCCAGUGAAGCAGGCCUGCCUCGUUUGUGGGUGGGUUGACGGUAGCUGGAUAAGAAGCGCCGGCUAACUACGUG
rnacentral:rRNA from 1 species